GGGCGUGUGGGAAAGGUCCAGCCUCAUAUGUCCUGUGAUCCUGAGGGGGAGAUAUGUGGUCAGACCUGUCCCACAGGCCGUG
ensembl:miRNA xtr-mir-2188 xtr-mir-2188